CACUGCUUCUGGGAACACUGGUCGUACCAAGGACAGCCCUUCGACAAUCAUGCAGCCUUUGUUCCUCUGUCUACUUAAGCAAGCUUCUCUUAAGGGGCAGUUGCAGGUGCACACUUCCGUCCAGCUGGCCGCCACUGGACACUCUCCCUGAGGAAAGUGAAGGGCAACAAUGGCAGGAAAGAUGGCUCAGAGCUAAAUAUUUUUCCUCUGCUGACCUCAAGGUCUCCGUGCCAGAAAUGAAGAAGGAGCCUGCAUGUUCAGAGCAAGAGAAAUAUGCUGCUAUGUAGACACCUACUUCAGCCUCUCAGUUCAGCAUGAACCUCCACACCCUUCAUUCUUGUUAUUUUCAGUUCCAAGAAAAGCUGGACCUCCUUCAUUGUAGGCAGAUUCUAAUCUCCAUCUGGCUCUGUCUGCCCUCUUUUAUGACUAAUCCUCUGGAUCUCUUUCUUAAUUCAUUCGAGAACUCAAGCCCAAUCACCAGUAAAAGCCCCUUUAUAUUCUGUAGACAUCCCUUUCACCUUUUGCUCUAAUAAGAAUCUGGCUCUCACCUGUGGACACUGUUCCCUGAAAUCCACUCAAGUGGAAAUUGAGCUGAUCUUUCUAUGCCUUGUCCCUCUCAGCUUGGAGCUGGGUUAAGUGUCAUUUUUAUUCCACUUUAUCACUCACGAACCACUGUACCCUCCUUCUCCCUACAGACCUUCUGUUCCCUUAAAGCGCAUGCCUUCUGAUUAUGCUACCCACUCACCAUCCCUCCUGGGCGGCGGUUAUUUACAGUGCUCCUGCUCACAACAUUCACCAGUUCCUUGAUUUUAUUCCUGUGUCAAUCAUUCUGAUCAUUCCGUGCAUAAAUCCUUAUCCCUCUAUCAUCACCUGGGCUCAAGAACAACUCAUGUCAAAUCCAACUCUCUCAUAUACAGUUAGAAUAUUGAAUCGAGAUGUGAAUCUGCCUUAUUGGAAGAAGGAAAUAAAUUUUUUAGUAGAGAUUGAAUGUGUUGUAUCAGGGAAUUUAGGGUCAGCAUUAUGUAUAGUAGUUAAAAGUAGAACCCCAAAUUUUCAACAAUAAAGACAUUGUAAGCCAAACAAAAAAAAAUAAGGAAAAACUUUCAGACUUUAUAGUCAUUUGACACAAACUGAGGUGAUUCAAGAACAAGUGGUGUACAAACAAAUGGGGUAGAGGAUGAGAUAGAAAGGUGAGGGCCACUCUUACAGCCCCGGGUGCACGAUGAAUUCAUAGUGAGAAGAGCCACAUGCAAAUAAUGUGCACAAUGAUUAACGGUGGAGUGAGUCAUAAUCUAACUAGGUCCACCUUUGGGAAGGGUUUGAGUAUGUAACAAAAGAUGAUUUUCCAAGGGGAUGAUCU